rnacentral:rRNA from 1 species
UACGUAGAAGACAAAUGUUAUUCAUCUUUAACAGGUUUAAAGGGUACCUAGACGGAAAAUCAAGCCAUAGUAGGGACUAAUUUUCUAGAGUUUUAUGUGUGAAGAUCGAAUUACCUGAAGAGCAAUAAAAUGCAUUGACACAGGGAAGACGGGUAGCGGCGAAGGCAAUCUUCUAUGUAGAAACUGACGUUGAGGGACGAAGCCUUGGGGAGCGAGAAGG